AAAAUAACGGAAAACUGACCCAAGAUCAGUAUUGUACAUAGGCAACUUCAACCCAAAAGAAAUGCGGAGCGCGUUCCAGCUCGUCAACACAAUCGGCUGCAGAGAAUCUGUGUAAUUUGAUUUACAACACAAAUGCGCAUCUUCAACAAAGAAGGCAACUUGGAACGUACCCGAUCCUCCCAUGAGAUCAUUCUCUUUCCCGCUCCAAAUAAAGACCCUUCACACCUACCACCCAGACCCACACCUUCAGACCACUCAGACCCACACCUACCACCCUUCUCUUCAGACCACUCAGACCCACACCUACCACCCUUCUCUUCAGACCACUCAGACCCACACCUACCACCCUUCUCUUCAGACCCACACCUACCACCCUUCUCUUCAGACUCACACCUACCACCCUUCUCUUCAGACCCACACCUACCACCCUUCUCUUUAGACCCACACCUACCACCCUUCUCUUUAGACCACUCAGACCCACACCUACCACCCUUCUCUUCAGACCCACACCUACCACCCUUCUCUUUAGACCCACACCUACCACCCUUCUCUUUAGACCACUCAGACCCACACCUACCACCCUUCUCUUCAGACCACUCAGACCCACACCUACCACCCCUCUCUUCAGACCACUCAGACCCACACCUACCACCCCUCUCUUCAGACCACUCAGACCUACACCUACCACCUUUCUCUUCAGACCACUCAGACCCACACCUACCACCCUUCUCUUCAGACCACUCGGACCCACACCUACCACCCCUCUCUUCAGACCACUCAGACCCACACCUACCAGCCUUCUCUUCAGACCACUCAGAUCCACACCUACCACCCUUCUCUUCAGACCACUCAGACCCACACCUACCACCCUUCUCUUCAGACCCACACCUACCACCCUUCUCUUCAGACUACUCAGACCUACGGCUGACACUUUUAGUCUCUCUAUCUCUCUUUCUAUCCAUCCUCUUGAUACAGAUCUCUUGAUCUAUCCUCUGGCUGCAUUUUAAAGUGUCCAGUGCAUCCGGGGAAAACGAUUUUCCCUAUUCUCAACAUUCUCGCCAAUAGAACUUCAAUGGAGUGGCAAGAAAUGGGAUGAUGACUGGAUCAAGGCCGAGGACCGCGUUUCUCCAGUUUAACCUACUUUAUGCACAAAUGUAUUCCUCACUCUCCCUUCACAUGUAUCACUGUCAAUCAUAAAU